GGAUUGUGGCGCAGUGGUAAAAGUGCUCGCCUAGCACGUGUGAGGCCCUGGGUUCGAUCCUCAGCACCA
rnacentral:tRNA from 1 species